GUACACGCUGUGACUAGCAUAUCAAUAAGCGGAGGAAAAGAAACUAACAAGGAUUCCCCUAGUAACGGCGAGUGAAGCGGGAAGAGCUCAAAUUUGAAAUCUUAAAGGGUUUCCCUUUACGAAUUGUAGUUUAAAGAAGUGUUUUCUGUUGAGGUUUUGGUAAAAGUUCUUUGGAAUAGGACAUCAUAGAGGGUGAGAAUCCCGUAUUUGACCUUUACUUUCAACUUUGUGAUACACUUUCAAAGAGUCGGAUUGUUUGGGAAUGCAGUCCAAAAUGGGUGGUAAAUUUCAUCUAAAGCUAAAUAUUGGCGAGAGACCGAUAGCGAACAAGUACCGUGAGGGAAAGAUGAAAAGAACUUUGAAAAGAGAGUUAAACAGUACGUGAAAUUGUCAAAAGGGAAGCGUUUGACACCAGUGUUGUUUUUCUGAAAAUCAAUUAAAGAACUGUUUAUGCUAAGUUGUUUAGACUUUAUCAGCUACUGUUUAGUUUUGAGCUUUUCUUUAAUGCACUUUUCAGUUAACAAGUCAACAUCAAUUUCUUUUGCUGUAAAAAAGCUUGAGGAAGGUGGCUUGAGAUUCGUCUUAAGUGUUUAUAGCCUCUUGCCUAUGCAGUCGGAGAGACUGAGGUCUGCAGCGUAGAUCCUUCGGGGCUAAAUGCAUUUGUGCUAAGUUAUAGCAUUUUAUAGACAACUUGUUGACUAUGAUUUGUCUUGUAGCUUACUCGCUUAUGUUAUUUUACCUACGCUUAGGAUGUUGACGCGCGUGUGUGCGUG
rnacentral:rRNA from 1 species